rnacentral:rRNA from 1 species
CCUACGGGAGGCAGCAGUGGGGAAUAUUGCACAAUGGGCGUAACCCUGAUGCAGCGACGUCGCGUGAGUGAAGAAGUAAUUCGUUAUGUUAAGCUCUAUCAGCAGGGAAGAAAAUGACGGUACCUGAGUAAGCAGCCCCGGCUAACUACGUGCCAGCAGCCGCGGUAAUACGUAGGGGGCAAGCGUUAUCCGGAUUUAUUGGGUGUAAAGGGAGCGUAGACGGCAGUGCAAGUCUGGAGUGAAAGGCGGGGGCUCAACCCCCGGACUGCUCUGGAAACUGUACGGCUGGAGUGCGGGAGAGGUAAGUGGAAUUCCUAGUGUAGCGGUGAAAUGCAUAGAUAUUAGGAGGAACACCAAUGGCGAAGGCAGCUUACUGGACUGUAACUGACGUUGAGGCUCGAAAGCGUGGGGAGCAAACAGGAUUAGAUACCCCUGUAGUC